GGGGCGAAUCCGUAGCGGCAGCAUCAAUGGAUUGCGAGCCGGAGGAGCUCCAGUUCCUGGGCGUCGUCGGCAUCUACCGGGAGGCGGCCAAGAUCCUGGCGAGGUGGCGCCGCCUCUUCGUCAAGAUCGCCGGCGCCCUCGUCCUCCCUCUUUCCAUCCUCUUCUUCGUCCACAUCGCUAUUUCCCACCGCCUCUUCUCCACCAUCGACUCCGACGAGUCCGCCCUCGAUGACGCCCCCCCGGGAUCCACCUCCGAGUCCUCCGCCCUCCAGCGGCUCGUCUCCGACUGGUCCGCCUUCCUCCUUUUUAAGGGUUUCUACCUCGUCGCCCUCCUCGUCCUCGCCCUCCUCUCCACCGCCGCUGUCGUCUACUCCGUCGCCUCCAUCUACACCGCCCGGGGCGAUCUCGCCUUCCGCAAGGUGCUCACCGUCGUCCCCCGCGUCUGGCGCCGCCUGAUGGUCAC
rnacentral:lncRNA from 1 species